rnacentral:rRNA from 1 species
AUUGAACGCUGGCGGCAUGCCUAACACAUGCAAGUCGAACGGGGGUAGCAAUACCCUAGUGGCGGACGGGUGAGGAAUACGUAGGAAUUUGCCGUUAAGUGGGGGAUAACCCGGGGAAACCCGGACUAAUACCGCAUGAUCUCGUGAGAGCAAAUCAGGGGACCGCAAGGCCUUGGGCUUUUGGAGAAGCCUACGUCGGAUUAGCUAGUGGGUGGGGUAAUGGCCCACCAAGGCUACGAUCCGUAACUGGGCUGGGAGGAUGAUCAGUCCAACCGGAACGGAGACACGGUCCGGCCUCCAACGGGAGGCAGCAGUGGGGAAUAUUGGACAAUGGGCGAAAGCCUGAUCCAGCAAUGCCGGGUGUGUGAAGAAGGCCUUCGGGUUGUAAAGCACUUUAGGCUGGAAAGAAAAAGCUUUGGCUAAUAUCCAAAGCCUUGACGGUACCAGCAGAAUAAGCACCGGCUAACUCUGUGCCAGCCGCCGCCGUAA